AUCGAGCUCAAUCCGAUGGAUAUCAUGUUAUCUAAUUGGAUUAGGAUUAAUCUCGCUUUUAAAUUGGAAAGCUAAGUAGAAAUAAAUUCUAAUCAUAUUAGGAUAAUAAUUUAUAACUGAUUUUACCUUACCUCUUACGCUAUUAGGAUUUCAUAAUCCCUUAUAAAUAUGCGGGCUAUCUCACAUAAAAAUUGACGGAUGAUGAAAGAACGGAAAAAGAAAGAGAAUAAGAAAAUAAAAGAGAGAAACCAUAUCCUCCAUUAACCUAUUAUUCUAAGGGAACUUGAAUGGUAGAUUUGCGAUCGUGUUCGUUUGUAGUUCGAUUCACCGCGGAUUCGGAGCAUUAGAAGACUUUAAAGAACGAUCCAAGGACACGUGAAUCAACUUUUACGUUCCGGACUCGUCGUGUUGUAGCGCGAAUCGCUUCCGUAAAAAAGUACGAACGAAUACUUCCGCUGCGUUCGACACCCUCAUUAGUUAGUAGACUAAAGGCGUUUCUCUUAUUUCUAUUGCUCCCAAUUUGAAUCGUUUUUUCCACAGCAAGUCUAAAAUGGAUUCUGAUUCAUUCACACGCGUAGUAUUGAGGUAGAAUAUUUUUAGAAAUAUUAUUAUUUA
rnacentral:lncRNA from 1 species